CCUACGGGUGGCAGCAGUGGGGAAUAUUGCACAAUGGGCGCAAGCCUGAUGCAGCCAUGCCGCGUGUAUGAAGAAGGCCUUCGGGUUGUAAAGUACUUUCAGCGGGGAGGAAGGCGAUAAGGUUAAUAACCUUGUCGAUUGACGUUACCCGCAGAAGAAGCACCGGCUAACUCCGUGCCAGCAGCCGCGGUAAUACGGAGGGUGCAAGCGUUAAUCGGAAUUACUGGGCGUAAAGCGCACGCAGGCGGUCUGUCAAGUCGGAUGUGAAAGCCCCGGGCUCAACCUGGGAAGUGCAUUGGAAACUGGGAGACUUGAAUACGGGAGAGGGCAGUGGAAUUCCUAGUGUAGGAGUGAAAUCCGUAGAUAUUAGGAGGAACACCGGUGGCGAAGGCGGCUGCCUGGACCGAUAUUGACGCUGAGACGCGAAAGCGUGGGGAGCA
rnacentral:rRNA from 1 species